rnacentral:lncRNA from 1 species
UUUCACGUUGCUUCCCAACCUCCAUGAAAGCUUGAUAAGAAAGCUCCACAACCUUCCUCAAAUAGCUCCAAAUUUCAUGCUUUUGGUGCACCCUUUCCAUAAACCCUUGUGCUCUUCCAUUCUCUCACUUUAAAACCCUUGAAAAAUCUUGUUUCCAUACUCUCUCUCACUAGUUAGGUGUUUUAGAGAGAGAAAGAGAGAGAGGAAGCUUCAAAAAUAGCUUGAAAGUUUUGGAAAGAAUUUCAAAUACAAGCUACCAAGGUUCCAACGAAGCCCCAUCACCCCAUUUGGACAAUUAGAGAAGUAGAGUCGACAAAAGGUUCAACGAAAUACCAGUGAGUGGACUUGCAUUUCAAAAUUGUUUUGGGAAUGUAAACUUAUUUGCACAAUAUACUUGAAUGAUUUUAUCCAACUUUCCUUAAAAACAAGUGCCUUGGGAACAAGCCUUUGAUAAAUUUAUUUAUGUUGUGACAUACAGUUGUUAUGGAUUCAUGCACUAUUACACUAUGUUGGUAUAUAUAUAUAUAUAUAUAUAUGUUGUGCAUGAUGGUUGAUAUUGUGUGAUGAUUAUAACCGCGUGUGUGCACGAUGUGGGGGAAUGCACAUGCCGGUAAUGGUGGUGGUGAGAGAGAUGGAUGAUGAUAGUGCCUAUGUGCACGAUGCAGGGGGAUGUACACGAUGCCACUGAUUGUGUAUGAUGUGGGGGGAUGCACACGAUGACUCUGGCUAUAUGCACAAUGUGGGAGGAUGCACAUGAGCUGGAUAUGAUGAUAGUGGUAUUGAUAUUUAUCCAUGUUUGUAUAUGUAUAUAUGUCUAGAGAAUGAAAACUCAUGUAUAUGGUUUAUGGUUGAAAUGCAUAUGAAUUUGGCAUGUUGAACUUUGGAAAUCUUUAUGUGUUUUACGUUGAUUUUGUCAUUUCAGCAAAAUGGCUUUUUCUUGAAAUGAAGGAAACCUUUUUCUCACUGUUCUGUUUCUCGCUGCAACGAGAAACUCUCUGGUUGGAGGGGUAAGGCUGGCCAAAAAUCUCGCUGCAGCGAGAAUGUUACUAUCGCUUCUCGCUGUAGCGAGAAACUUUUUAUUUUGUGACCAAAAAUUUUUGUUGCUACCUUAUUUUCCAUUUCUUUGAUACCAUAGUUGAGCAUGGACUUCCAACAUUAAGGAAUAAAUGAAUUAAGUUUAAAAUGAUGAGGUUUGGUGAGAAACCCUCGGCCAGUUAAGAAAUCCUCAGCUAGUUAAUAAUUUAAGUCAAGUGUCGCUGCAGCGGAAAGGCAUUCUCGCUGCAGCUACGACCCGUCAUUUAUUUGACCUAAUUCUCAUGAAUGCUAUUAAAGUUUUCACUCUCCAAAUCCUUUGUUGAGCAUGGACCUUAUUCAUAAAGUGAUUUACUCAUGUGGGGUUUACAUGAAGGGUUUUAAUAAGAACUAAAACAAAUUGCAUUGUUUUGAAAAAUAAAUGCAUCAUGAUUUCGUUAAACAUUCCUUAAUGUUUGCUUGUUCCUUUCUUGUUCACUCAUUGGGUUUAUACUCGCCGUUUUCAACUUCAUGUUUUCAGAUCAAGAGGCAACCAAUAACUAGGUCAAGGUGCCCUUAUAGAUUUGUUUCCUUGGUAGGUAUCUCGACAUUCAGUAGCCGUACAUCACUCGGGUUUCUCCGUUGAAAAUCGAGUCUUCUUUUUGAGAUGUAUAGACAACCCUGAUGUAAAUUAUUAAGAUACA